rfam:Schistosoma haematobium scaffold227_37, whole genome shotgun sequence.
GGGCCAAUGGUCUAGGGGUAUGAUACUCGCUUUGGGUGCGAGUGGUCUCAGGUUCGAGCCCUGGCUGGGCUA